CAUGCAAGUCGAACGGCAGCGGGGGUGCUUGCACCUGCCGGCGAGUGGCGAACGGGUGAGUAAUGCAUCGGAACGUACCCAGUCGUGGGGGAUAACGCAGCGAAAGCUGUGCUAAUACCGCAUACGUCCUGAGGGAGAAAGCAGGGGAUCUUCGGACCUUGUGCGAUUGGAGCGGCCGAUGUCAGAUUAGCUAGUUGGUGAGGUAAAAGCUCACCAAGGCGACGAUCUGUAGCUGGUCUGAGAGGAUGAUCAGCCACACUGGAACUGAGACACGGUCCAGACUCCUACGGGAGGCAGCAGUGGGGAAUUUUGGACAAUGGGGGCAACCCUGAUCCAGCCAUGCCGCGUGAGUGAAGAAGGCCUUCGGGUUGUAAAGCUCUUUCGGCCGGGAAGAAACCGUGCAGGCUAAUACCCUGUAUGGAUGACGGUACCGGAAUAAGAAGCACCGGCUAACUACGUGCCAGCAGCCGCGGUAAUACGUAGGGUGCGAGCGUUAAUCGGAAUUACUGGCGUAAAGCGUGCGCAGGCGGUUUUGUAAGACAGGCGUGAAAUCCCCGGCUCAACCUGGGAACUGCCUUGUGACUGCAAGACUAGAGUACGGCAGAAGGGGGUGGAAUUCCACGUGUACAGUGAAAUGCGUAGAGAUGUGGAGGAACACCAUGGC
rnacentral:rRNA from 1 species